UACGUAGGGUGCAAGCGUUGUCCGGAAUUAUUGGGCGUAAAGAGCUCGUAGGCGGUCUGUCGCGUCCGUUGUGAAAACUCGAGGCUCAACCUCGGGCUUGCAGUGGAUACGGGGCAGACUAGAGUGCGGUAGGGGAGACUGGAAUUCCUGGUGUAGCGGUGGAAUGCGCAGAUAUCAGGAGGAACACCGAUGGCGAAGGCAGGUCUCUGGGCCGCAACUGACGCUGAGGAGCGAAAGCAUGGGGAGCGAACAGG
rnacentral:rRNA from 1 species